AAAAAUUACAAAUAACUCCGGCCUUCAAUCCAAUGGCAGAUACAGAGAAAAUUACAAAUAACUCCAGCCUUCAGUCCAGUAAGCAUCCAUGAAGCCUAUUUACCUAACCAGAAAUACUGAGGAUAUAAAAGAAAAAAAAAGAUGGCAGAUACAAAGAAAAUUACAAACAACUC